rnacentral:rRNA from 1 species
AUUGAACGCUGGCGGCAGGCCUAACACAUGCAAGUCGAGCGGAUGAAGGGAGCUUGCUCCUGAAUUCAGCGGCGGACGGGUGAGUAAUGCCUAGGAAUCUGCCUGGUAGUGGGGGAUAACGUCCGGAAACGGGCGCUAAUACCGCAUACGUCCUGAGGGAGAAAGUGGGGGAUCUUCGGACCUCACGCUAUCAGAUGAGCCUAGGUCGGAUUAGCUAGUUGGUGGGGUAAAGGCCUGCCAAGGCGACGAUCCGUAACUGGUCUGAGAGGAUGAUAAGUCACACUGGAACUGAGACACGGUCCCGGCUCCUACGGGAGGCAGCGGUGGGGAAGAUUGGACGAUGGGCGAAAGCCUGAUCCAGCCAUGCCGCGUGUGUGAAGAAGGUCUUCGGAUUGUAAAGCACUUUAAGUUGGGAGGAAGGGCAGUAAGUUAAUACCUUGCUGUUUUGACGUUACCAACAGAAUAAGCACCGGCUAACUUCGUG